rnacentral:rRNA from 1 species
UACAGAGGUCCCAAGCGUUGUUCGGAUUCACUGGGCGUAAAGGGUGCGUAGGUGGCGGGGUAAGUCUGAUGUGAAAUCUCCGAGCUUAACUCGGAAAUGGCAUUGGAAACUAUCCUGCUUGAGGGUUGGAGGGGGGACUGGAAUACUUGGUGUAGCAGUGAAAUGCGUAGAUAUCAAGUGGAACACCAGUGGCGAAGGCGGCUCUCUGGGACGGUACUGACGCUGAGACGCGAAAGCGUGGGGAGCGAACAGG